rnacentral:lncRNA from 1 species
UGAUUCUGAUUCAGCAACUUGCUUCUGUUGUUGCAUGAUGAGGCGUGGCAUGUUCUUCAGAUACUCUCUGAGACUCUCUGUGAUCCCUCCAAGACCAAUGGAGGUAAAGAAGUUGAUUGCAAACCUAGUGUUCUUUGGAUUAUCUUUAGGGAAGAUGGAUUCAAGUGACUCCUGCAUUGUUGGAUCCUGAAGCCUCUCAUUAAGCAGCCUUAUCCCCAAGUGCUCUGACAAUUCCUGCAAUCAAUACAAAGGUUAUAACCAAAUCAAAAGAACAGUCCUGAAAAUGGUAAAAUGAGUUUCUUAGAAAAGUGUAUUCGAUUCAAGUUACCUGGAAAAGGAUCUUAAUGAAAAUACGAGAGGAUGAAGUAGUGUCCUCCUCGGUUAACCGAAUGUAGGCAAGCACAUGCCAUGGAAGAGCAUCUGUCCCCAGUAAAUGAGCAAAAAACUUAGCAACGUUACGCAGCUUGUUCGUCUCAAGACGGUGAAUCAUAGAGUACUGCUGAACAAAACACUUCUCGAAAUUCUCUUGGUGAAUCUUGUUGAUCAUACAGAAACGCUGACCCAACAAACCGUAGUAGCGCAGAUACGUUCUCUCCUGAGAGCAACACUCCAGAAGCAUUAUGCACAGUUCCAUCUGCAACAUUUGAAUUAGACAAAUAAUGUUUAUAAGCCUUGUGUACUUCCAGAAAAUGUAUAAUCUAGUUUGAGAGGAGUUAGUUACCUCUUGACCUGGUUCGAGUUUAAUUUUAAGCAACUUGUGACCAGCUUCCUCAAAAUCGACGCUGGACAUUAUGGUCAGGUAUAUUGUCCUCCUAAGAUUAACAAGAUUAGUCUCUGUCUCGUCUCUUAUCCUCAUUUGUUCUUCAUCUUCUUCUUCACCAGACUCAUAUUCCUCCUCAUCAUUGUCCUCUGAGCUAGCAUCAGAGCCGUCUUCAUCGUCUGACUCAUCCUCACCAAGUAACUCCUUCUUAAGCGCCUCAUACUUCUUCUCGUUCUUAAUGAAGUCAGGAUCAGGUUUGAAAACAUCUGCAAAAAACAGAAACAUCAGAGAAAAUUUUAAAACUAAGAGCUGUUUAAGUUUUUUACUAAUACUAAAAAAGUAACUUACUCAGAGAGGUAUCAGGAUCUAUUUCAUCAUUAAGAGAUACAUCAUGCGAAUAUUUAUCUUCAACAAGAUCUAGCUCAGGACGAACAGCUGGAUGUCCCUGAAAGUAUAAAGUAUGAGCAUUAUGCUUAUCUGCUUCAACCCAUAAUAUCAGAAUAUAAUUAAAUAAAGUUAUGUCUUAAAGUAUAUUUACCUGAAACUUCGCUUUCCUAAUAGCAAAGAGCCCUUCAAUCAAAUACUGAACUCUCUUAUCAAUAUCUCCCUCGUGCAGUAUACCACGAAACCUUUCAAAAAUUCCUGUAUUAACAAUUGCAAGGGAGCUUAGAAACGCAAAUAAAAGGAAGAUCAGUGGCAAUAUAGAACUGUUUAAUGCAUGAAGUGAAUCGCUUAGAUACAGAAUCAUAUCACAACGUUAUCUUUGACCAAGAGAUGAACCUUAUUAUAUCAGCACAUGUCAUUAAUCAUUGACUUGUGAUUUAAUUUUAUGGAUUACGUGGAGAUGCAAGCAGGCUAAUGUUUCUCACUAUGACAAACCAGAUCUCUCACCAACACAGCAGAAAGAACGAUUAAAACUUUGAAAGGAUACUUACCAUGCAAUCCUUUUGGUGUAACGUCCUGGAGCAUGGCACCACACUCUGUCACGAAUCCAACAGCCACCUCCACACUGUCAUCAGUAGGGGUUUCUAAAAGUACAGAGACUAGCUCAAGGGCAAUGAUCUCCUCAGCGACUUGCUGGUUUACUAGAUGUGCUAUAAAUUUCACCGCAGCUAGCAGUUGAGGCUGGCAAAACAAAAAUGAAACACAUAAAUGCAUAAACAUGACACAUAUAAAAUCAAAAUGACUUUCAAGCAAAAAAGACAAACCUUGUCGUUACGCUUAUAAGCUCUCUUUAGCUGCAAAACGACUCUUUUCAACAAAAGCUCAGCAACUUCGGGGAACUUGGCGUUGAUAACAGCGACCAAAGCUGCAAAGACAUCGGUAAACCCAGGAGACGCCAUCUGAGACUUCAUACACGAACGGCAGUGAUGAGAUUCUCAGCAAACAACUCAGGUAUAAUGUUCUUGAUGUUGCUUGCGUUAACCUUAUUCACCAGCCCGUUGAUACUUUUACGGAGAGCGUCCCACGUAAGACGCUGAUACUCUACGCUGCUCUUGUCCUCCACCUCCUUCAUCAUCCGUGCUAGCUUGAACGGAGGGAUAUAAACUCCACCAGUUUUUCCCAAAGCUAUAGCGUUGCUAUCAGAUGAGUUGAGUUCUGGUAACUUGGGCUUCGCAACUUCACUCUUCUCUUCUUUUCUCAGCUUGUCUCUUUGACUAUCAGACCUUCUUGUUUCCUCUCGCUUUCUCUCCUACUCUUUUGCCUAUCAUGAGAAGGCUUAUCAGCUGUGACUCUAGUACUACUACCCCUAUGACCUCUCUCUCUAUCACUUCUUCUCACUCUCUCGUCUUCCUCGGAGGAACCAUCGUGCCUACCCAUAUGGAUGGAAUCCAACAUAAAGUAAGAACCUUUACCGAUUAUAUCAGGAAACCCUAGCUUAUUUAUCUAACGAUAUAAAUCUCUAGUAAGAAAAACACUACUGAGGUUGUCGCGACGAUCUGAAUCGCCGACCAAAAGUGAUAGACGGGGGAAAUAAGAUAUGUUUUCGGUUUGGUUUUUGUCGGAAGAGGUACGCCGACGGCACGGUUUCCUUUUAUGGAUUCUCGAAACGGCACUGUGUGUGUAUAUCAAUCUUUAUUUGGGUGGUGUCGGGUUAUGAAAUAUAAGGCUAAGACCAUGCGCAUUGAGGUAUCAUGCGGGGUUCACGGGCUCGAGUUCAUAGGCCCAAUUGAUUAAAAACACAUAAAAAAAGGGUUUGUUUCGCCGAACCGGGCCUUACGGUUGAACUCGUAAGGGGCGGGUUCACGCCACGUGUCCUCCUCUCAGUGGCUUCUCCUUUCCGCGUUGGCGAGAGAGAAAGAAGGGUCUCGGCGUCUUGAUUCAUUUCUCUCAUCUCCGUAAAAGCUAGGGUUUUUUUCUCUCUGAGGCGAUUCUCUGUGCGACCUCCAUCUCCGGCGGUAUUCUCCAGCAAAUCCACUCUGGUUUCUCUUCUCCACCUCUUAGGUGAGUAUUGAGUUGAACGGUAGAAUUCUCCACCUCCUCUCCAUCUUUUUGUGUUUCGGUUUUAAAUCGAUUUGGGGAUUUUUUGUUUGAGGGUUUCAAAAUCGAUAGAGGGUUUUCGAUUAAUUGAUGUAAAUCGGCAUGCUCGUUUCAUUAGGGUUAGUUUCUGUGAAAUUUCAAAUCGAUAGAGGGGUUUAGAGGUUAUAUUCACUUCAGUUAGUAACUAAGUAGUGGCUCGUAGUAAUGACCAAAGCGUAAACUCGUUGGUUCUUGGUUAGAUUUCUAGUCGGAAUAGAGUCGUUGUUACCUUGGCCAUACGAUUGGAACAUGUCUUUCUCAUCUUCUUUGUUUCUUACAUGUAAUUGGAACUCGAUUGUUGCAGAUGGAAACUCCCCGAGAACCUCAUUUCUUCAAGCCUCUUCUUCCUGGUUUUCACAGUGGCGUGGCAAUACCACUUGACUUCUACUCAAAACACAUACAAGGGGCUGAGAUCAAUAAACCAUGGAAGCUAAGAUCGGACGCUUCGGAUCAAAUUUGGGAGGUGAUCCGAGAAGGCAGGACACUCACCAAAGGUUGGAAAGAGUUCACCGAAGCACAUGAUCUUCGAAUCGGUGACAUUGUCAUCUUCAAACACGAAGGAGACAUGGUCUUUCAUGUGACUCCUUUUGGUCCUAGCUGUUGUGAGAUUCUGUGGUCCGACGCGGAUGAUGCUCCUACUUUCUCAUACGACUACUGCUUCUUGGCUGAGGUUACUCCUACAAAUCAAAAGGACGACAAAAUGGUGAGUAAAAUUUAGUUAUUUAUUGUGUGAUUCUAGUACUGCUUCUUGGCUGAUGUUAUGUAUGUGUUUGUAGUUUCUUCCUGUGGAAGCUAUGAGGUGUGGUGCUUUGAACCAACAAUGCAAAGAGGUCAAACUUGUCAACAAGGAGGGAAAGUCAUGGACUGCGCGCUUCGGAUUUAGCGAAUCAGACGGCGCAUAUUACAUCAGCAGAGGGUGGAGAAAGUUCUGUCGUGAUAACAGAUGCACCAACGGAGAUUUGUUUGUGUUCAACGUGGUUGGAGACGGGACGACAACUCCAUUACUGUGUGUAUGUCCGGAAAGGAAGGAGUGUACUGAACUACUGAUCAAGCACUUCAGCAGAAUCGAUGGUAAGUCUUCUCAUUUGACUUGUUUGUGUUGUCUAUAUCUUCAAUGUUACUACUUUGCUUCUGCUUUAACUUGUGUUCUCUUCUUCUACAGGUAGCAUUGCUUCUACCUCACGAAAUUAGAUGGCUCUUUUGCGGUCUUUCCUCUCUAUCAUCUUAACUUGUUUCUUUUUGUUUCAUUAGCAACUUAUCAACUUAUGUAUUUCGGUUUGUAAAACUUGAAUGGUUUUUCUAUGUGAACUUUUAUCCUAAGUUAAACAUUCUCGAACUUAAUUCCUUUGUUGAAUGCGUAGACUGAUCAUCGAACAAAAUGUUUCUAUGAAUUGAAUUUAAGUUAAGAAACAACAUAAACUCUCUGUGAUCCCUCCAAGACCAAUGGAGGUAAAGAAGUUGAUUGCAAACCUAGUGUUCUUUGGAUUAUCUUUAGGGAAGAUGGAUUCAAGUGACUCCUGCAUUGUUGGAUCCUGAAGCCUCUCAUUAAGCAGCCUUAUCCCCAAGUGCUC